rnacentral:tRNA from 2 species
CGAGUCGUAGCUUAGAGGUCCAGAGCGUCGCCCUGUCGAGGCGGAAGACGCGGGUUCAAAUCCCGUCGACUUGAC